UAAGGCCGCGGACGUUCUGAUUCUGCCCUUUGCACUUUGGACUUUGACACGAGCGGACCUCACCUGUGAACCCUCCUGUGAACCCAAACCUGUGAAGGAAACUCUGAGACUUUUGCACUGCUUGAGUCUUUUUGUUGGAAACAACACUUGUCUUACAGAACUCCACGAGAUCCGGACUACGAGAGACCGAGAGCCGAGGACGAGCCCCUGCUGAAGCGACCGGGCUGUGAUUUGGACCAUAAGUGACUGACUUCCUCCCGAGAAGCCUGAGAAUGGAGGACCACCUGUGCACGGGGCGACGCCAGAGCUGUUGGCGACUUCGUUGGAGCUGCGCCGCCACCCCCCCCUCCCAGCCCCCCGGCGGCAGCCAUCGGCAUCGACUACGGAGCUGGUGGCGACUACGAUGGAGCUCCUGGCCUCCCUACGGCCAUCAGGUUAGUGCAGGAAAUUAACGCUGAACAAGAUGAGUUUAACCAUGUGCAGGUGGAUUUGUUGCUCUUGGCCCGUUUCCCAGCAGAUGAGCUCCGGCUCCAACCCGUACGAGCCCGACACCGCCGACGCGCCCGACACCGCCGACGCGCCCGACGCGCCCGCAGGUAAGUUAUCAGGUUAGUGAUACACUUGUCCCUUUAAACUUACACUACACUGUUUAAAGGACUGUUAUUGGUUUGUAUGUACACUUUAUUGUAUAUUCUACUGUAAAUGUAAUAUGUUACAAUUCUUGCACUUUGUUGAUUGUUGAUUGUUUAAUGUUAUUCUCUAAUGUUGCACCACCCGCCAUGACACAUUCCUUGUAUGUGAAAAUAUAGUUUACAAUAGACACACACAUAAUAUAUACAAUAAAAUUAAAAACCAGCUGUGGAACGUCCUGAAGCAGCUCCGGCCCGUCCCCCAGAAACCAGAAGAGUCCACCAGGAGCAGCAGGAAGAGGAGGAGCCCGACUGCCCGGCAGGACGGAUAAAGUGUAACCAGCCUUCCCUCG